AUGGACGGCCACGGCGACGGCCGGCAGCCCAUGCUGGAGAAGGGCCCGCCGAGCCACCGGGAGCGGCACUUCACGGCCGGGGAGGUGGUGCGCGACGUCAUCAUGGGCGUGUCCGACGGCCUCACCGUGCCCUUCGCCCUCGCCGCGGGCCUCUCCGGCGCCAGCGCGCCGUCGUCGCUCGUCCUCACCGCCGGCCUCGCCGAGGUCGCCGCCGGGGCGAUCUCCAUGGGCCUCGGAGGGUACCUGGCUGCCCAAAGCGAGGCAGAUCACUACAAGCGGGAGAUGAAGAGGGAGCAGGAGGAGAUCAUUGCCGUCCCAGACACCGAGGCUGCUGAGAUUGGGGAUAUCAUGGCAGAGUACGGGCUCGAACCGCAUGAGUAUGGCCCUGUUGUGGAGGGCCUCCGGAGGAACCCGCAGGCUUGGCUCGAGUUCAUGAUGAGGUUUGAGCUCGGAUUGGAGAAGCCGGACCCUAGAAGAGCCUUGCAGAGCGCUUUAACAAUAGCGCUAUCUUAUAUCAUCGGUGGAUUGGUCCCUCUCCUGCCCUACAUGUUCAUCUCCACUGUCCAGGACGCCAUGCUCACAUCAGUUGGAGUCACGCUGCUCGCGCUCCUUUUCUUUGGCUACAUCAAGGGUCGAUUUACUGGGAACCGCCCGUUCCUUAGCGCUGUCCAGACUACUAUUAUUGGUGCUGUUGCUUCUGCUGCGGCGUACAGGAUGGCGAAGGCUGUGCAAGCUAGAUAA
rnacentral:rRNA from 1 species